rnacentral:rRNA from 1 species
AAAACAUGUCCUUUAGAAUUAAAUUUAAGGUUUAACCUGCCCACUGAUGUAUUAAAUGGCCGCAGUAUUUUAACUGUGCAAAGGUAGCAUAAUCAUUAGUCUUUUAAUUGGAGGCUUGUAUGAAUGGUUGGACAAGAUAUAUAUUGUUUCAUAUAAAUUUAUAGAAUUUUAUUUUUUAGUUAAAAAGCUAAAAUUUUAUUAAAAGACGAGAAGACCCUAUAGAUCUUUAUAAUUAUUAAAUUUUAUUUUUGAAGAAUGUUUUGUAUUUAAUUUAAGUAAUUAUUUUAUUGGGGUGAUAGUAAGAUUAAUUAAACUCUUAUAUAAUUUGUACAUAAAUUAAUGGUUAGUUGAUCCAAUAUUAUUGAUUAGUAAAAUAAGUUACCUUAGGGAUAACAGCGUAAUUUUUUUAGAGAGUUCAUAUCGAUAAAAAGGAUUGCGACCUCGAUGUUGGAUUAAGAGAUAGGGUUGGGCGCAGCCGUUCAAUCUUAAAGUCUGUUCGACUUUUUAAUUCUUACAUGAUCUGAGUUCAAACC